UUCUUUGCCCAUUUUAAAAUUUGGUUGAUUGCCUUUUUGUUGUUGAGUUAUAAGAGUUUUUCAAAAUAUACUCUGGAUACCAAGCUCUUAUCAGAUGUGUGAUUCAAAAAUCUCUCUCCAUUCUGUAGGCUGUAUUGUUUUUUAAAAAGAUUAGUUGAAUUGACUAACAGUUAUCUUUAUACUAACAUAAGUUUCCUUCCCUUGUGUUCUGAUGUGCUUUCUUGAGUGGAAGACCUAGUUAGGACCAUGUGAAUACAUAUAAAUCUGUGGUAUAUAUUGCCUCGCUCCUAAUCUUAAUAAGUUUGUGGGAACAAGUUGCUCAUGGGAACAUAUUUUUCAGGAAUAUCAUGGCAAAAAAAAAAAAAAGAUUGAAAAUUGCUUUUUUAGACCAAGGGUCCAGAUCCGAGAAUAGGAUGAUGUAUUCCUGAUUCCUGCAUACCAAAAACUGGUUCAGAGGUGUGAAACAAAAGCACGAGGGACACCAACUAACAUGACAUAUAUGAAGUCUCCUCAGCCACACCAACCUUGCCGUUCCUCAACCCUUGGAUCUUGAGACAGAGUGAUGAAAAAGCAAGAUAAUUCCAUGAUUCUUAUUCCCAACGUUGGCUCAUUCGGCAACCUCCAUAGAACAGAGUGCAGCUCAAGCCGUUAGAAUUUGACUUAUUAAAAGGGGACAUGAGUCUCACAAAGCCUCAAAUACCAGCUUUUUAUUUAAAAAAAAAAAAUAACUAAUAGCAGCAGCAGCAUGAGAUGUAGCAUGAAGCUGAAAUUGUUCAGAUCCUGGAGUUAGAAGGGAAGGAUAUGCACCAAGGAGUGAUUGCCCUUAAUUUAGGAAUAACACAAAGACCAAGUGGGAAAGCAGACUGUUCCCGGCUGAUAAAACCAUGGAGGAUUUCAAGUUUCCCGACACCUCUAGACAGGGCCCUAGCAAAUAUUAAGCACAGAGUGAAAACCAUCUUUAACAUUCGGCUAUAGACUUUUAGAUCUGGACUGUGCUUCAUCUUAAAGGUGGCCCACUGGCAUGUAGCACGCAGAGACAGAAUAAAAGCCGUUGAUUCUUCCUUGUGAAAUCAAUCCCGCUGGCUACCUACAGCCAAAUUCUAGACAAAUCAGAGCCAUCUAGUAACAUAAGUAUAAACUGGAGACUGUGUAUGCUCAGGGCCAGCAGAAACCAUGGAGGAACUUGGUGGGUGAUGCGAAAAGUACAGAAAUCUACUCUGCCUCUAAUACUUCGCCGCUUCUUCCAGUCCCAGUGGACACAACGAUCACCAGCAGAUGAAAUGUUUACUGAGGUUUUGUUACAUGCUGGAGACAGCGCUAGAUCAUCAAAGACAAAGCUCCUGUUCUGAAGAUUCUGUUCUAGUGUUGCGUGUGUCAAGUGGAAAAAAACAUGACUGUGGGCAGCCUCGGUCAAGGAAGGCUUAAUGGAGCUUAUCCAAGAACAGCAAGCCGGUCAUCCCCAAGGAUCUGAGGGAAUGAGACAUUGAACAGGUAAGUUUUUUUUUUUUUUGCAGUACGCGGGCCUCUCCCUGUUGUGGCCUCCUGCUAUUGUGGCCUCUCGC